rnacentral:lncRNA from 1 species
CACGGACACCAGUACAGGACGGGGCUUCGCAGACAGCGAGCGGAGGGGCUUCCCCGAUUCAUAGGAAGGAAGGCGGUGUCGAAGCCGGGAGUUGCGCGGAGAAGGAGCGCUCAACACAGCCUCAGCGGUUCACUACGCAAGCGCGACCAACGGCUUCCCGGGAAGCAGCCAAAAACGCUUGGCCGCCUACCACGUCCGCGCGCUGGAGGGCGGAAGUGGGUGAGACCUCGGGCACUCCAUACCGCCCCCCGGUUUCUGGCCACGCCCCCUCUGGUUACACCCACUCGCUCUGUAAGGCACGCCCCCUCCGCGGCGGCGGCUGCUGCCCACGUGGGCCUCCCCGGGCGGGCGGGCAGUGGGCGCCUCUCCCUGCAGGCUGGGUGUGCCCGAAGCCUGCGGUUUCCUGUGGGAGGAAGCGGCCUGCG